rnacentral:rRNA from 1 species
UACACUCCUGCGGGAGGCAGCAGUGGGGAAUUUUGGACAAUGGGCGAAAGCCUGAUCCAGCCAUGCCGCGUGCAGGAUGAAGGCCUUCGGGUUGUAAACUGCUUUUGUACGGAACGAAACGGCCUUUUCUAAUAAAGAGGGCUAAUGACGGUACCGUAAGAAUAAGCACCGGCUAACUACGUGCCAGCAGCCGCGGUAAUACGUAGGGUGCAAGCGUUAAUCGGAAUUACUGGGCGUAAAGCGUGCGCAGGCGGUUAUGUAAGACAGUUGUGAAAUCCCCGGGCUCAACCUGGGAACUGCAUCUGUGACUGCAUAGCUAGAGUACGGUAGAGGGGGAUGGAAUUCCGCGUGUAGCAGUGAAAUGCGUAGAUAUGCGGAGGAACACCGAUGGCGAAGGCAAUCCCCUGGACCUGUACUGACGCUCAUGCACGAAAGCGUGGGGAGCAAACAGGAUUAGAUACCCCUGUAGUCCC